CACUGCGGGUGGGGGAGUUCACUCGAGUAUAAGACGAGGGGGGUGUUUUCAGCACGAAAAAUCGUGCUGAAAAACUCGGCCUAUACUCGAGUAUAUACGGUAAGUAAAAUUAAAUGAUACAAGGGAAUAGGAAAACAAAAAAGUUAAAGACAAGACAUUUGGCGACAAACUUCAUAGAGUCCUAUCUUCACAUGUCCAUCUAGGUAGAAGCGGUAACGAUGGAUGUUCAGGACAUAAAUGGAGGUUGACUAGGACAAAGAAAACAUUUCCAAGUUAUAUGGAAAAAUUGUGUACAUUAAAGGAAAUUAAUCAUAAAAUGAAGGCAUGCAUGUAACAUAAAAAUGAAAUAAAGUGUCUGUCAGAAACAACUUUUCUCCUGAGUAUUGGAAAGUGUCAAAUCGUAAUAAUAUUUAGGAACUAUAUAAAACCUGGAAAUAAUGUGUAAGUAACACAAUACAUUCGGUCGUUAUUCAUAAGGUUUAUGGAGAGCUAUUAAGUAAAGGUAAAGAAAAAAGAAGAAAUUGAGAGGAAGACACAGAAAGUAGAAAGAAAUGAAGAAAGAAAAAACAAAAAGGUAGGGAGAUAUGAGGAGAUGCAGCCACGUGCACAACAACAGCUGGAGGUCGCAAAAUGGAGGCCGCCGCAUUGCCUGUCCGCACAGAUAUAGCAACACUUUAAUCGGGCUGGCCAAGAGGACGUGUGACCAGAGGAGUAUGAGGAGCAGAGGGGAAGAACUUUGAUGUUAUCCACAAUUUUUGCUUUAUUUCAAUAGGAACCACAUGGCUGAGAUACUUUGCUAUAUGUCCUCUAUUUAUUUUAAUUCCCUUUAUCUUUGGUUAUCCCAGAGUGUGAUGUUGGGCUGCUAUGUUUCUGUUCUCUCUACAUACAUUAUUCCUUAUGCAAUGUCAAGUGACUCCACUAUGAUAUAAUUGCCUACAAUUCGGGGUGGUGGACACACACAGUGGGGCGACCAGGUCCCCGCAGAUCUGUUCCCUAUGGGAUCGGGCUGUGGGGAUUGGGGGUUUGCGCUAUGUGGGGUGCUGCAAUGUGGUACCACACUUCUGUUUGCAAAAGACAUGCUGCCACUGUGCCACACUCCCUGAUAUGCUCACUUUAUUAUGCCUGGUCACUUGCCAUCAUAUAUAUUCUUGCCCCGUGCGCCUCUUUUUCACAGUGCGCAUGCGCUGAUACACCCGGCAGGCCGCUGUGCCUGCGUGUACCAACGUCACUCCCGGGACGCUGUGAUCUACUGUGGAGCACACAGAGAUGCUGGUAAGCUAUUUUCCGUAGCCAUGUGGUCCCUAGAACACUAUUUGCUUACACAAGCGCUAUGUAUGUUAACCCCUUCUGCUCCUUUGAGAUAUCAUUGCUCAUAUUAUUAACAUUGUAUCACUUUCACUUACUGUAUGUGGAUAUACAUUAUGUUUGUUGUGUAUCAUAUGUUUUUUGUUACCAGUACCUGGUGGCCAUAAUUUGUCUAUUUUGGUUUACCGGAUCCGGUAACCUUAACUCAUUAUACCACAUGUUGUAACAAUUAUGAAAUUAUGUGAUAGUGUCACUGAUUGCUCACCCUAUAUAUUGCCUCACUGUGAUUCAUUUUGUUGCUUGAAGAUGGCCGUGAGAGAUGGC